rnacentral:rRNA from 1 species
GACGAACGCUGGCGGCGUGCCUAAUACAUGCAAGUUGAGCGCUGAAGGUUGGUACUUGUGCCGACUUGAUGAGCAGCGAACGGGUGUGUAACGCGUGUGAAAUCUGCCUUUCAGCGGGGGACAACCUUUGGAAACGAGUGCUAAUACCGCAUAAAAUCUUUCAACACAAGUUUUAAGUUUGAAAUAUGCCAUUGCAUCACUCAAUGAUGAUCUCGCGUUGUAUUAGCUAGUUGGUGGGGUAAAGGAGCACCAAGGCGAUGUUACAUAGCCGAACUGAGAGGGUGAGCGGCCAGACUGGGAGGGAGACAGGGCCCAAAGUGCUACGGGAGGCAGCAGUAGGGAAUCGGCGGCAAUGGACGAAAGUCUGACCGAGCAACGCCGCGUGCGUGAAGAAGGUCUUCGGAUCGUAAAACACUGUUGGUAGAGAAGAACGCUGGUGAGAGUGGAAAGCUCAUCAAGUGACGGUAACUACCCAGAAAGGGACGGCUAACUACGUG